ensembl:lncRNA
CCCCCACCACCCACCGCCUGCAUGGGACAGCUCCUGGGAAGAUGAACUCAGAGGCGGUUUUCUGCCCUGCCAGAUGGAAACAUGCUCUCCCAUCCUGCCAGAGAAACAGAUCAGCACGCUGGGUCCACAGAGGGAACCACUGGCUGCCUUGGAAGAACGGCUAAUAGAUCAUGGAAUUCCACCGCCAAGCCAUCAUCUCCAGGCCAACGAGCUUGAAUUAUGACAGAAGGAUUAGGAGCGGGUGGAAACUUGGAGGUCACCCACGAAGACGUUUGAACAUUUGUUUUCUAUCUACAGCCUCAUUUCCCAGCUGCGUAGGACACUUAAUCCAACGUGAAGUCUUGCAUAUUAAACUUUCUCCCUGAUUACAGUCCUCCUCAGUCUUCAGUGAUCUUUGGCACCCAGUGGGCACUUUGAUUUCCCUUGAUGUGUGUGGACGUGAGGGGUUGAGGCCAAGCCUUUUGUAUGACAUCUUGUUUUCUCUCGGGGGUCAGUGCGGCAUGCUAGCUGGAAUGGCAGUGGGGGAACAUGAAGCACGCACUAUGCCUGUCAGUGAAGCAGUGGACAGGCUUGUGGAGGUAGGCCCAGGCAAUCAGGGAUGGCGGUGGUAAUUGGAAUGGUCAGGGCAAGACAGAGGCUCUUCCGGGGGAGCUGAGAUACUACAGGGUGAAGAUUCUGAGCUUCAGAUGAAGCUUCCCCAACUUCAAGCUAUUAAGUUAUUAUGGCUGAUUACAUUCCGAGGGGCCUCGGCUGGCAGGUUCUAAUUGGCAGUACUCCUGUGAUUUUAUGGGAACCAGGCUGGGAUGGGGAAGGCUGAGAUCAGCCCCGCCCAGCAGAGGCCAGAUGAGCUGGGGACUGGAAUCUUUCUUCCGACAUCGUGGCAGCUCAUCUGCAGACCUUUACAACCUUCUGUUCCCAGCAGCCCCUCAGCACAGCUGACCGGGGGUUCUUCGGGAGCUGCCUCCAUUCACAGGGCAGGAGGCCAAGGUCUCAGCACAUGCCUGAUGGUCAGUAAGUACCUGCUAAAUGAACAGAGACCUUCUGCAUCAUCACCAUCAUCAUCACACCUGAUGUUUACCGAGGACUCCUGUUCGCUAAGCAAGGGUUGCACAACAAGAGUUGGCAGACUUGCUCUGCAAAGAUCCAGCUAGUACAUAUUUUUGGUUUUGCAAGCCACAGGGUCUCAGUUACAGCCACUUGACUCUACUAUGGUGUCUAGAAAGCAACCACAGACCAUAUGUAAAUGAGUGGGUGUGGCUGUAUGCC